rnacentral:rRNA from 1 species
CCUACGGGGGGCAGCAGUGGGGAAUAUUGCACAAUGGGGGAAACCCUGAUGCAGCAACGCCGCGUGAGUGAUGAAGGUUUUCGGAUCGUAAAGCUCUGUCUUUGGGGAAGAUAAUGACGGUACCCAAGGAGGAAGCCACGGCUAACUACGUGCCAGCAGCCGCGGUAAUACGUAGGUGGCGAGCGUUAUCCGGAUUUACUGGGCGUAAAGGGAGCGUAGGCGGAUGAUUAAGUGGGAUGUGAAAUACCCGGGCUCAACUUGGGUGCUGCAUUCCAAACUGGUUAUCUAGAGUGCAGGAGAGGAGAGUGGAAUUCCUAGUGUAGCGGUGAAAUGCGUAGAGAUUAGGAAGAACACCAGUGGCGAAGGCGACUCUCUGGACUGUAACUGACGCUGAGGCUCGAAAGCGUGGGGAGCAAACAGGAUUAGAUACCCCCGUAGUC